rnacentral:rRNA from 1 species
GUACACAAAAAUGCACAUGCUGUGAGCUCGAUGAGUAGGGCGGGACACGUGGUAUCCUGUCUGAAUAUGGGGGGACCAUCCUCCAAGGCUAAAUACUCCUGACUGACCGAUAGUGAACCAGUACCGUGAGGGAAAGGCGAAAAGAACCCCGGCGAGGGGAGUGAAAAAGAACCUGAAACCGUGUACGUACAAGCAGUGGGAGCACGCUUAGGCGUGUGACUGCGUACCUUUUGUAUAAUGGGUCAGCGACUUAUAUUCUGUAGCAAGGUUAACCGAAUAGGGGAGCCGAAGGGAAACCGAGUCUUAACUGGGCGUUAAGUUGCAGGGUAUAGACCCGAAACCCGGUGAUCUAGCCAUGGGCAGGUUGAAGGUUGGGUAACACUAACUGGAGGACCGAACCGACUAAUGUUGAAAAAUUAGCGGAUGACUUGUGGCUGGGGGUGAAAGGCCAAUCAAACCGGGAGAUAGCUGGUUCUCCCCGAAAGCUAUUUAGGUAGCGCCUCGUGAAUUCAUCUCCGGGGGUAGAGCACUGUUUCGGCAAGGGGGUCAUCCCGACUUACCAACCCGAUGCAAACUGCGAAUACCGGAGAAUGUUAUCACGGGAGACACACGGCGGGUGCUAACGUCCGUCGUGAAGAGGGAAACAACCCAGACCGCCAGCUAAGGUCCCAAAGUCAUGGUUAAGUGGGAAACGAUGUGGGAAGGCCCAGACAGCCAGGAUGUUGGCUUAGAAGCAGCCAUCAUUUAAAGAAAGCGUAAUAGCUCACUGGUCGAGUCGGCCUGCGCGGAAGAUGUAACGGGGCUAAACCAUGCACCGAAGCUGCGGCAGCGACGCUUAUGCGUUGUUGGGUAGGGGAGCGUUCUGUAAGCCUGUGAAGGUGUGCUGUGAGGCAUGCUGGAGGUAUCAGAAGUGCGAAUGCUGACAUAAGUAACGAUAAAGCGGGUGAAAAGCCCGCUCGCCGGAAGACCAAGGGUUCCUGUCCAACGUUAAUCGGGGCAGGGUGAGUCGACCCCUAAGGCGAGGCCGAAAGGCGUAGUCGAUGGGAAACAGGUUAAUAUUCCUGUACUUGGUGUUACUGCGAAGGG